GUAGGUGGCAAGCGUUGUCCGGAAUUAUUGGGCGUAAAGCGCGCGCAGGCGGUUCUUUAAGUCUGAUGUGAAAGCCCACGGCUCAACCGUGGAGGGUCAUUGGAAACUGGAGAACUUGAGUACAGAAGAGGAAAGCGGAAUUCCACGUGUAGCGGUGAAAUGCGUAGAGAUGUGGAGGAACACCAGUGGCGAAGGCGGCUUUCUGGUCUGUAACUGACGCUGAGGCGCGAAAGCGUGGGGAGCAAACAGGAUUAGAUACCCUGGUAGCCCACGCCGUAAACGAUGAGUGCUAAGUGUUAGGGGGGUUUCCGCCCCCCUUAGUGCUGCAGCUAACGCAUUAGGCACUCCGCCUGGGAGUACGGCCGCAAGGCUG
rnacentral:rRNA from 1 species